rnacentral:misc_RNA from 1 species
GAUGAAGAACGCAGCGAAAUGCGAUACUUGGUGUGAAUUGCAGAAUCCCGUGAACCAUCGAGUCUUUGAACGCAAGUUGCGCCCGAAGCCAUCAGGUUGAGGGCACGUCUGCCUGGGCGUCACAUAUCGUUGCCCAAUGCCUAUUGCAGUGCAAUAGGAAUUUCUAGGGCGAAUGAUGGCUUCCCGUGAGCGUUGUUGCCUCGCGGUUGGUUGAAAAUCGAGUCCUUGGUAGGGUGUGCCAUGGUAGAUGGUGGUCGAGUUAGAACGAUACCGAUCAUGUGCAUGCUCCCCAAAAUAUGGCCUCUAUGACCCACACGCGUCUUUUGACGCUCAUGACGAGACCUCAGGUCAGGCGGGGCUACCCGCUGAAUUUAAGCAUAUCAAUAAGUGGAGGA